rnacentral:rRNA from 1 species
UACAGAGACUGCAAGCGUUGUUCGGAUUCACUGGGCGUAAAGGGUGCGCAGGCGGCCAAGUGUGUCAGGUGUGAAAGCUCGAGGCUUAACCUCGAAACUGCGCCUGAAACUAUUUGGCUAGAGUGCUGGAGAGGGAAGUGGAAUUCACGGUGUAGCAGUGAAAUGCGUAGAUAUCGUGAGGAAGACCAAUGGCGAAGGCAACUUCCUGGACAGUUACUGACGCUCAGGCACGAAAGCGUGGGGAGCAAAAGGG